CCUGAUCGGAGCUGAUGGAAUUUCAGAUCAUUCCCGGGAAGGUGCGCCCACUCACGCCCGCCUCGCCGAGAAC
rnacentral:sRNA from 19 species